UACGUAGGGGGCUAGCGUUGUCCGGAUUUAUUGGGCGUAAAGAGCGUGUAGGCGGCCAGGUAGGUCCGUUGUGAAAACUCGAGGCUCAACCUCGAGACGUCGGCGGAAACCCUCUGGCUAGAGUCCGGAAGAGGAGAGUGGAAUUCCUGGUGUAGCGGUGAAAUGCGCAGAUAUUGGGAGGAACACCGGUGGCGAAGGCGGCUCUCUGGACCGGUACUGACGCUGAAACGCGAAAGCCAGGGGAGCAAACGGG
rnacentral:rRNA from 1 species